rnacentral:rRNA from 1 species
UACGAGGGGGGCAAGCGUUGUUCGGAAUUAUUGGGCGUAAAGGGCGCGUAGGCGGGCUGUCAAGUCUGGGGUGAAAUCCCGCGGCUCAACCGUGGAACUGCCUUAGAUACUGACGGCCUCGAGGGAGAUAGGGGCGAGCGGAACUGUGAGUGGAGCGGUGAAAUGCGUUGAUAUUCACAGGAACUCCGGUGGCGAAGGCGGCUCGCUGGAUCUUUUCUGACGCUGAGGCGCGAAAGCUAGGGGAGCAAACGGG